rnacentral:pre_miRNA from 1 species
ACGCAGGGUGAUCUGUCUUUAAGUAGGGUAAAUUACUCUUUAAAAGAGAAUCCAGAUAGUUUCCCCUUUUAAGUCAAAUGUCUUGU